rnacentral:sRNA from 1 species
UAAACCAUUUGUGCUGCGCUGACACCUG